rnacentral:rRNA from 1 species
AUGGAUAAGCUAAUAAGGGCGCACGGAGGAUGCCUAGGCGCUAGGAGCCGACGAAGGACGUGGCGAACUACGAAAUGCCUCGGGGAGCCGUAAGCAGGCUUUGAUCCGGGGAUGUCCGAAUGGGGAAACCCACGCAGAGUAAUAUCUGCGUACCUAUUGCUGAAUACAUAGGCAAUAUGGAGGCAUACCCAGGGAACUGAAACAUCUAAGUACCUGGAGGAAAAGAAAACAACAUGUGAUUCCGUCAGUAGCGGCGAGCGAACGCGGAGAAGCCCAAACCGUUCCCUUCGGGGAGCGGGGUUGUAGGACGUCAAUAUGGCAAAAGCAGGUUAGGCGAAGCGGUCUGGAAAGGCCGGCCACAGAAGGUAAAAGCCCUGUAGCUAAAAACCUGCGUAUGCCUAGACGGAUCCUGAGUACGGCGGGGCACGGGAAACCCCGUCGGAAUCCGGCAGGACCAUCUGCCAAGGCUAAAUACUCCCUAGCGACCGAUAGCGAAGCAGUACCGUGAGGGAAAGGUGAAAAGCACCCCGGGAGGGGAGUGAAAUAGAACCUGAAACCGUGCGCUUACAAAAAGUCAGAGGCCAUUAACGGCUGAUGGCGUGCCUUUUGUAGAAUGAACCGGCGAGUUACGUUCCCAUGCGAGGUUAAGUCGAAGAGACGGAGCCGCAGCGAAAGCGAGUCUGAAUAGGGCGAGUUAGUAUGUGGACGUAGACCCGAAACCGUGUGAUCUACCCCUGUCCAGGGUGAAGGUGCGGUAACACGCACUGGAGGCCCGAACUCACGAGCGUUGAAAAGCUCGGGGAUGAGGUGGGGGUAGGGGAGAAAUUCCAAUCGAACUCGGAGAUAGCUGGUUCUCCCCGAAAUAGCUUUAGGGCUAGCCUCGGAAAUGAGUCGCGGAGGUAGAGCACUGAUUGGGUGCGGGGCCCGCCAAGGGUUACCAAGUCCAGUCAAACUCCGAAUGCCGCAUACUUGAAUUCCGGGAGUCAGACGGUGAGUGCUAAGAUCCAUCGUCAAGAGGGAAAGAGCCCAGAUCAUCAGCUAAGGUCCCCAAGUGCGUGUUAAGUGGGAAAGGAUGUGGAGUUGCACAGACAACCAGGAUGUUGGCUUAGAAGCAGCCACCAUUUAAAGAGUGCGUAAUAGCUCACUGGUCGAGUGACUCUGCGCCGAAAAUGUAACGGGGCUAAACACGCCACCGAAGCUAUGACNNNNNNNNNNAGCUAUGACUGGCACAACUUUGGUUGUGCUUGGGUAGGGGAGCGUUGUGUAUACCUUGAAGCCAGACCGGAAGGACUGGUGGAGCGUACACAAGUGAGAAUGCCGGUAUGAGUAACGAAAAGAUCAGUGAGAAUCUGAUCCGCCGAAAACCUAAGGGUUCCUGAGGAAGGCUCGUCCGCUCAGGGUAAGUCGGGACCUAAGGCGAGGCCGAAAGGCGUAGUCGAAGGACAACAGGUUGACAUUCCUGUACCACCGUAAGCCGUUACGAGCAAUGGGGUGACGCAGAAGGGUAGUGACGCAGACUGAUGGAUGUCUGUCCAAGCAGUAAGGCUGGUGCGUAGGCAAAUCCGCGCAUCGCAAGGCUGAGCUGUGAUGGGGAGGGAACAUUGCAGUACCGAAGGUCAUGAUCUCAAGCUGCCGAGAAAAGCCUCUAGCCAGGCGAAGGUGCCCGUACCGCAAACCGACACAGGUGGGUGGGCUGAGAAUGCUAAGGCGCGCGGAAGAACUCUCGUUAAGGAACUCGGCAAAAUGACCCCGUAACUUCGGGAGAAGGGGUGCCUCGGUAGGGUGAAUAGCCCGAGGGGGCCGCAGUGAAAAGGCCCAAGCGACUGUUUAGCAAAAACACAGGUCUGUGCGAAGCCGCAAGGCGAAGUAUACGGGCUGACGCCUGCCCGGUGCUGGAAGGUUAAGGGGAGCGGUUAGGGGCAACCCGAAGCUGUGAACCGAAGCCCCAGUAAACGGCGGCCGUAACUAUAACGGUCCUAAGGUAGCGAAAUUCCUUGUCAGGUAAAUUCUGACCCGCACGAAUGGCGUAACGACUUGGGCGCUGUCUCAACGAGAGAUCCGGUGAAAUUUUAGUACCUGUGAAGAUGCAGGUUACCCGCGACGUGACGGAAAGACCCCAUGGAGCUUUACUGCAGCUUGAUAUUGGACUUUGGUACGAUCUGUACAGGAUAGGUGGGAGCCAGAGAAGUCGGAGCGCCAGCUUCGACGGAGGCGCCGUUGGGAUACCACCCUGAUCGUAUCGGAGUUCUAACCUGCUACCGUAACCCGGUAGAGGGACCGUGUCAGGUGGGCAGUUUGACUGGGGCGGUCGCCUCCUAAAGCGUAACGGAGGCGCCCCAAGGUUCCCUCAGAAUGGUUGGAAAUCAUUCGAAGAGUGCAAAGGCAUAAGGGAGCUUGACUGCAAGACCCACAAGUCGAGCAGGGACGAAAGUCGGGCUUAGUGAUCCGGUGGUACCGAAUGGAAGGGCCAUCGCUCAACGGAUAAAAGCUACCCUGGGGAUAACAGGCUUAUCUCCCCCAAGAGUCCACAUCGACGGGGAGGUUUGGCACCUCGAUGUCGGCUCAUCGCAUCCUGGGGCUGAAGUAGGUCCCAAGGGUUGGGCUGUUCGCCCAUUAAAGCGGUACGCGAGCUGGGUUCAGAACGUCGUGAGACAGUUCGGUCCCUAUCUGUCGUGGGCGUAGGAAAUUUGAGAGGAGCUGUCCUUAGUACGAGAGGACCGGGAUGGACGUACCGCUGGUGUACCAGUUGUCUCGCCAGAGGCAUAGCUGGGUAGCUACGUACGGAAGGGAUAAGCGCUGAAAGCAUCUAAGCGUGAAGCCCCCCUCAAGAUGAGAUUUCCCAAUUCGUAAGACCCCUGGUAGACGACCAGGUUGAUAGGUUCGAGGUGGAAGCGCGGCAACGCGUGCAGCUGACGAAUACUAAUCGGUCGAGGGCUUAUCCAAAC